GAUUUGCAGUGAUGAUUGUUUACACAGCUUAAUGCCAGUUCUGCUUCAGAAAAUUCUUGAUUGAAAAGCUGUUUUACAUCUGAGCCUUUU
rnacentral:snoRNA from 1 species